rnacentral:rRNA from 1 species
AUUGAACGCUGGCGGCAUGCCUUACACAUGCAAGUCGAACGGCAGCACGGGUGCUUGCACCUGGUGGCGAGUGGCGAACGGGUGAGUAAUACAUCGGAACAUGUCCUGUAGUGGGGGAUAGCCCGGCGAAAGCCGGAUUAAUACCGCAUACGAUCCACGGAUGAAAGCGGGGGACCUUCGGGCCUCGCGCUAUAGGGUUGGCCGAUGGCUGAUUAGCUAGUUGGUGGGGUAAAGGCCUACCAAGGCGACGAUCAGUAGCUGGUCUGAGAGGACGACCAGCCACACUGGGACUGAGACACGGCCCAGACUCCUACGGGAGGCAGCAGUGGGGAAUUUUGGACAAUGGGCGAAAGCCUGAUCCAGCAAUGCCGCGUGUGUGAAGAAGGCCUUCGGGUUGUAAAGCACUUUUGUCCGGAAAGAAAUCCUUGACUCUAAUACAGUCGAGGGAUGACGGUACCGGAAGAAUAAGCACCGGCUAACUACGUG